CGCUGUCUGGCCGUUUCAGUGCGAAUCGAAGCAUCAAAGGUGUUAGGUGUUUGUGCGGUCUUUCAUUUCACGUCGUUCGUUCGUAUUUAUUUGGCGCAUAUUUUGACGUCAGCAAAAGUAACAGCGUCUCUGAUUGUUGUGUGGAUUCUUUUUGGACUUGUUUUCUGGACAGAUUGUGCUGAAAUAUGGGCGUGACACGCCUUAGUCUCAUGCUGCUGCUGGCGGCGCUGCUGCAGCUUAGUCAAGUGGAUGCUUACUCCAAGUAUGGACGCGGCUGCGGCGACAUCGGUUGCCUGCCCAACGAGGAGUGCGUGAUCACCAGCGACUCGUGCAGCUACAAUCAACGCGAUGGCAAGGAUUGCGGCAGUUAUCCGACUUGCAAACGCAAGAGCGGCGGCUCCUCCAGUGGCAACACCCACCAGGCGAAUCCCUCGUCCCCAUCGUCUGCGGUUAAUCCCUCAGGAUCCAGCUUGAAUACGGGACCUGAGAAUAACAUAUUUGCGCCUGCAUCAUCGAAUCCCACACUUAACACCUACACAUACUUCAGUCACAACAGCAAUAACAAUAACAAUGGCCAUCAUCAGAAUGGGGGACAAUCGUCGGGUGGCAACAACGGCGGCUCCUCAUCGAUGGGCGGCCAAGGCGGUCAAGGUGGCCAACAGAAUGGCGGCCAAGGGUCGCAGAAGGGAUCGCAAGGUGGCGACGCGGGGGGACUGGGCAACAGCGGGGCUGCGGGUGCCUCGGCAACGGGCAUCGAUCCGCAUUAUGUGUUUGGGGCCAAGCAUCACAUGCCCAUCAUCCCUAAUAUGCCCAUCUUUCCAUACAAUUCACCCACGCAAGCGCCAUCGUUUCAACAGUUUCCCCAACCCAAUCAUCCAGGUAGCGUCCUCAAUCCCGGAUAUCCCAUGCAUGGCCUGCAGCCGGUGAAUCCCUACAAUCCACCGUUCGUAUUUGGUCAGCUGCCCUUCUACUCGGGCCCCGCCGGCACUGGCGGUCCCCCAGGCGGCGGUGGCGUCGGCGGUGGCGGUGCCAAUGUUGGCAUCGGGGCCGGCGUCGGUCUCCCAAGCUCGAGUAUGGGCAUCUUGGGUGGCGGCGGCGGCGGUCUGGCGCCAUAUGGCAGCAACUAUCAGGGCUAUCAGACCCAUCACACCAAUGCGAACAUGUACAAUAAGCCGCCGCCUCAGUAUCAGAACCAGAAUCAACAGAAUCCCUACAAUCGCCAGACCCAGGCGCAUCCCUCGGCAGCGGGUCGUCUCAGCGAUGCUCCACAAUUUGGACUGAUCACGCUGUUCGCUGUGCUCCUCCAACUGCUGUUAAAUAGAAUCCAUAACAACAACAUCGGCAGCACGUAAUAAGAUGCAAACGACAGCAGCAGACGAUCCACAUUUGAUCAAUCAAAUUCUGCAACGCAAAACACGACGACGAUCAAUAUUAUGUGCAAACAAAAAAGAGAAAACAGCAACAAAACAACAGAAUCCCAUUGCUUUGCUUUUCAGUUGUAUUAUCCCACAAUCCUUACACUACUUUUUUUUUUUUUGGUUUACGGGCAAUAGUUUAAGUUACAAUUAAGGGCAAACAGUGAAGCAAACAGAAAUAACAGCAGCAACAAACAAUAAUGAAUGUAAUUAACAUGUGAAAUGCGCAAAAGCUGGCAUCUAUGGCAUCAACUCUCCUUGCUGUAAUCAAUGCUCACGGACAGUAAGUGUAAAAGCCGUCGACUAUGACACGCAAUCUUACUCUUCUAAACGUGCAAGUGCAAGCUGACUGCUAUGUCACUCAAUCUUACUCUUCUAAACGUGCAAGUACAAGCUGACUGCUAUGUCACUCAAUCUUACUCUUCUAAACGUACAAGUACAAGCUGACUGCUAUGAGACUCAUCCUUACUCUGUUGCGCAAGUGCAGACUGACCGAUAAUUUUACUCUUCUAAACAUGCAAGUGCAAGCUGACUGCUAUGACACUCAAUCGUACGCUUUCAAACCCACAAGUGCAAGCUGGCUGCGCAGUCCCUCAACUCUUCUAAACAUGCACGUUGGCAGGUUGGCAACUAUGACAUUCACUCUUAAUCUUCUAAAAGUGUAAAUGAAAGCUGACAGCUAUGACACUCACACUGAUUCUGAAGCAUCUAGUGAAGUAAUUCAAAGCUGACAGCUAUGAUAUUUCCUUGUCGUGCGCGUGCAACUGCAAGCUGACUGCUAUGACAGUCGAGUCGAGGAGUAAUUGGAUAUAUUUAAAUAAGCAACAUAAUGUAGCAAGUUAAAACUGCAAGUGGAUACAAUAUAUUGUGUGCACAAGUAUUUUGCUGCAUUUCUUUAGCACAUUCUUUGCCUGCCACACACACACACACACACACGCACACACAUACAGAUGAGGAGUGCUUAUACGUAAUUUCAAUUUAAUAUUGUGCUCGCUUUGUGCCAGUCUUUAUCUCUCUGUUCAUGUGUGUGUGUGUGUAUAUUAGUUCAUUUGUGUGGUCUAACUAUCAGUCAGUCGGCUGUCUGUCCGUCCGUCCGUCUGUCCGUUUGGCUGUGCCAAAAGCUUCUUUCUGUCUGCACUUCUCUCUCAUUCUGUUUUUUGCAGCUCAAUUAAAUUGGAAUUUAAUUUCGGGCUUAGUCCAGUGCCUCGACCAGCCGCAGACCUUGGUCCAGGCAGACACACACACACUCUCUCUCACACACACACAGAUGGUCAGUUGUGUGCAUGUCCUGGUUAGAUAACAGCUUUGAUGUUGAUGUUAAUUUCAUUUUUGUUGAUGUUGAUGCUACGAAUUUUGUGGUAAACUCAACGCAAGCAUUUCGGGGCUAUCAUUGCCCCGUUGUUGUUGCUGUUGCUGUUACUGUUGCUGUUGCUGAUGGCCCAUUCAGAGUUGUUGUAGAUACAAAUACGAAUACACACGCAUGUCAAUCAAAGUGCAUAACAAGUUGCUUUUUAGACUGCAGCAAAUUGAAAAAACCAAAUCAAAAAACAAAAAAAAAAAAACAGAAUAUUUAGAAAAGUGAGCUGUGCACAAAGUGCACAACUAAACAUAAUAAUAACUAAAGUAUAAAUGUGUUUUUUUUUUACAUAAAUAUAUACAUAUAUAUUAAAUACACACACAUACAUAUAUAUACAACGAUGUGUAUCUAAACUAACGAAAGGAAAGUAGAGUUAAGAGAGCGAAUUGAAUGGAAAUCAACAACAACAACAACAACAACUCGCUUUCAGGCAAACAAUGAAAACAAAAUACCUAAAUGAAAACCAAAUAAAACUAUACACAAUUGUAUAAACGAAACUUGAGCAAAAACUGCCAGCAAAAAACAGAAGAAAAAACA